UUGCGCGUAUCGUUCGAAAUCAAAUGGCGAAAAACAAAAGCCGCUUUGUCCGGUUUAAUUUUGGAUCGUACGCGCAUCUUAUAUUAAUAACAUUGUCAGACGAUCUAAUAAUGACAAUAUCGUAUUAUGCUGUAACCAAGUACUCUAGCGAAUAAUCACUGACUCUCGAGAUAGAGUUUAUCGUAAUCAAUAGGAAUAAACGUAGUAGCAAACGAUAACAGCCGCGCACAUCAUGCACAAAACAAGCCAACAAGCGCAUACUACUUGCAAUCUUUCAAAAAUGUAGUUUUAUCUCUUUAAAUUUCCAUUAUUUUUACUUAAAUUAAAAAAAAAAUGUGGAUUAUUUAACAAAAAAAAAUUAUAAAUGUAAAUUAUGUAAAAACAUGUAAAAAUAUGUAACAACAA